rnacentral:lncRNA from 1 species
GUUUGGUAAUAGUUUAUAUAUGAUAUAUACUUUAUCUAUUUUGUUGAUAUAUUUGUUACUGUGUUUCAAAUACAUGUUCAUAUAUGUAACUAGUGUGUUAAAUAUAUAUAUAUUUCUAUUUUAUGUUAUAAUUUGAUUAUGUUUUCGGAUCGGAUCGUGUCAAUACGCCGUUUUCACAUAUACGUGUAUGAGGCGUGACAUUUGUGUUAUCCGAUCCAGUUGCGAUGAUCGCAAUUUUGCGCUAGCAACGCCGUUGUUUUUUUUAAUUCAUAUUUUUUUUAUAUACAUAUAUUUAGAUCUGCAUAUUUUUUUUCAUAACUAACUACCCUGAUUUUUCCUAAACCCUGACAAUUUCGCCACAAACUCUAAAUUUCAAACCUAAAACUUUAACCGUGUUGUUUCUUUUAAACCAUAAACCUUUUCUUAAACCUUAACAAACCUUAUUAUUAUUUCCUAUUU